rnacentral:sRNA from 1 species
UUCGACCAGGGUUCGACUCGAGCGUAGCGAGAGAACGUUGCCGAAGGCAACGGUCCGAAGGGCGAGGCGCUUUAGCGCCGAGUCAUCCUUCCCCCACCGCUG